UUACGAAGGUCCCGAGCGUUAUCCGGAUUUAUUGGGUUUAAAGGGUGCGUAGGCGGGUUAUUAAGUCAGUGGUGAAAGCCUACAGCUUAACUGUAGAAUUGCCAUUGAUACUGAUGAUCUUGAGUACGAUUGAGGUAGGCGGAAUGUGUCAUGUAGCGGUGAAAUGCUUAGAUAUGACACAGAACACCGAAUUGCGAAGGCAGCUUACUAAGUCGUAACUGACGCUGAUGCACGAAAGCGUGGGGAGCAAACAGGG
rnacentral:rRNA from 1 species